rnacentral:rRNA from 1 species
GAUGAACGCUGGCGGCGUGCCUAAUACAUGCAAGUCGAGCGAACGGACGAGAAGCUUGCUUCUCUGAUGUUAGCGGCGGACGGGUGAGUAACACGUGGAUAACCUACCUAUAAGACUGGUAUAACUUCGGGAAACCGGAGCUAAUACCGGAUAAUAUUUUGAACCGCAUGGUUCAAAAGUGAAAGACGGUCUUGCUGUCACUUAUAGAUGGAUCCGCGCUGCAUUAGCUAGUUGGUAAGGUAACGGCUUACCAAGGCAACGAUGCAUAGCCGACCUGAGAGGGGGAUCGGCCACACUGGAGCGGAGACACGGUCCAGAAUACUACGGGAGGCAGCAGUAGGCAAUCUUCCGCAAUGGGCGAAAGCCUGACGGAGCAACGCCGCGUGAGUGAUGAAGGUCUUCGGAUCGUAAAACUCUGUUACUAGGGAAGAACAUAUGUGUAAGUAACUGUGCACAGAGUGACGGUAACUAAUAAGAAAGCCACGGCUAACUACGUG